AAUACGUAGGGUGCGAGCGUUAUCCGGAAUUAUUGGGCGUAAAGAGCUCGUAGGCGGUUUGUCGCGUCUGUCGUGAAAGUCCGGGGCUUAACCCCGGAUCUGCGGUGGGUACGGGCAGACUAGAGUGCAGUAGGGGAGACUGGAAUUCCUGGUGUAGCGGUGGAAUGCGCAGAUAUCAGGAGGAACACCGAUGGCGAAGGCAGGUCUCUGGGCUGUAACUGACGCUGAGGAGCGAAAGCAUGGGGAGCGAACAGGAUUAGAUACCCUGG
rnacentral:rRNA from 1 species